GCCGGUGUGGUGGAAUUGGCAGACGCGACGGACUCAAAAUCCGUUGAAGGCAACUUCGUGGGGGUUCGACUCCCCCCACCGGCA
rnacentral:tRNA from 1 species